rnacentral:rRNA from 1 species
AACGAACGCUGGCGGCAUGCCUAACACAUGCAAGUCGAACGAGACCUUCGGGUCUAGUGGCGCACGGGUGCGUAACGCGUGGGAACCUGCCCUUAGGUUCGGAAUAACUCCCCGAAAGGGGUGCUAAUACCGGAUAAUGUCUUCGGACCAAAGAUUUAUCGCCUUUGGAUGGGCCCGCGUUGGAUUAGCUAGUUGGUAGGGUAAAAGCCUACCAAGGCGACGAUCCAUAGCUGGUCUGAGAGGAUGAUCAGCCACACUGGGACUGAGACACGGCCCAGACUCCGACAGUGGGCAGCAGUGGGUAAUCGUAGCCAAGUGGCGAACCGCUUCACCAGAAGUGUUGGUUGGGGGACGAGGCCUGUAGGGUUGAAACUCUUUUGGCGUGGUGAUCAUAAUUCCAUGACCGGGAGAAUAUGCUGCGGUCACCGCACUGCCAUCAGCCGCGUUAAUAGACGAACACCACCCCUCUGACC